CUGUGAGAGGGAUGAUGUAUUACCAUAGAGCACUUAGGAUGCUGGCGUUCCUUGAUUCAGCUUCCGAGAUGGAUAUCAGGG